GGUUGUCAGCUGUUCUGGGUUAGUGUAGCUGAUGUAAUCUCCAAAGUUUCAUUCAUAACAAGCGCUCAUCUUAUAUGGCCCCUUAACCACUCAAAUAUGGAUUUGUGCUCUGCAGGUCAAAGUUCGAGCAUGUAUUCAACAUGAAGCACUCCAGAAUGCUCUGGUAGAAUUUCAAGAGUGUGGGCGUCAAAUUUUUCAGUCACACUCAGGUGUAAAUGACUAACAGCAGAGCCUCCACAAGGCAGGGAUGCCUGCCCCUCACCUGGAGGCAUGAAAUCGGUUCCUUCUAGGAGCAGGCGUGAUGAUACUGGCCACAGAAG